AUGCAGUCGAACGAACCCUUCGGGGUUAGUGGCGCACGGGUGCGUAACGCGUGGGAACCUGCCUUUAGGUUCGGAAUAACUCAGAGAAAUUUGAGCUAAUACCGGAUAAUGUCUUCGGACCAAAGAUUUAUCGCCUUUAGAUGGGCCCGCGUUAGAUUAGAUAGUUGGUGGGGUAACGGCCUACCAAGUCGACGAUCUAUAGCUGGUCUGAGAGGAUGAUCAGCCACACUGGGACUGAGACACGGCCCAGACUCCUACGGGAGGCAGCAGUGGGGAAUAUUGGACAAUGGGCGAAAGCCUGAUCCAGCAAUGCCGCGUGAGUGAUGAAGGCCUUAGGGUUGUAAAGCUCUUUUACUAGGGAUGAUAAUGACAGUACCUAGAGAAUAAGCUCCGGCUAACUCCGUGCCAGCAGCCGCGGUAAUACGGAGGGAGCUAGCGUUGUUCGGAAUUACUGGGCGUAAAGCGCGCGUAGGCGGCUUUUCAAGUCAGAGGUGAAAUCCCAGGGCUCAACCCUGGAACUGCCUUUGAAACUGGAUGGCUAGAAUACUGGAGAGGUGAGUGGAAUUCCGAGUGUAGAGGUGAAAUUCGUAGAUAUUCGGAAGAACACCAGUGGCGAAGGCGACU
rnacentral:rRNA from 2 species